UACAGAGGGUGCAAGCGUUGUUCGGAUUCACUGGGCGUAAAGGGUGCGCAGGUGGGUUGGCAAGUUUGAUGUGAAAGCCCCGGGCUUAACCCGGGAAUGGCAUUGAAUACUGCUGAUCUGGAGGAUUGGAGGGGGGACUGGAAUUCUUGGUGUAGCAGUGAAAUGCGUAGAUAUCAAGAGGAACACCAGUGGCGAAGGCGAGUCCCUGGACAAUACCUGACACUGAGGCACGAAAGCUAGGGGAGCAAACAGG
rnacentral:rRNA from 1 species